rnacentral:lncRNA from 1 species
GUCAGACUGCAGGCAGAGAAAGGCAGAGCAUCGCCCAUCACCUGGAAUAAACGGGAGGAAGCCCUGAAAAAGUCAUGGAGUGCAGCUGAUGAUCCCUAAACCUGCAAUUUAUGCGACUGUUGUAAUCUCGGCACAACUGUAACUGAUGAAUAUGCAUCACAUCAUCUCUAUGCGUGGCAGAAAGUAACCUAUUUCUGUCCCAUAACAAGCUCUGCCCCUCUCCAAGCAGAACCUGCAGCAAGACCAGCUUUGAUCCUUCCCAAGGAACAUGACCAUCAGACCAAUCCCACCACACCAUGCUCAUGAGCAGCUGAGGACAGGGGCCAGCCUCACACUGCCAUGCUUGUGGUCCUCUCAAAUCUGGAGCUGAGCCAGGAGACAAGCAGCAAGCACAGAGCAGGACAAAGGCUGGAGAUGAAGCUGUGAGCUCUUGGGACCCUAGCUGGUCAGAGUGACCCCGAGAUGCGUUAGAAAGUCUCUUUUCCCAGCCAG